UACGUAGGGUGCAAGCGUUAAUCGGAAUUACUGGGCGUAAAGCGUGCGCAGGCGGUUUCGUAAGUCUGUCGUGAAAUCCCCGGGCUUAACCUGGGAAUGGCGAUGGAGACUGCGAGGCUAGAGUUUGGCAGAGGGGGGUAGAAUUCCACGUGUAGCAGUGAAAUGCGUAGAGAUGUGGAGGAACACCGAUGGCGAAGGCAGCCUCCUGGGCCAAUACUGACGCUCAUGCACGAAAGCGUGGGGAGCAAACAGG
rnacentral:rRNA from 1 species